rnacentral:rRNA from 1 species
UACGUAGGGUGCAAGCGUUAAUCGGAAUUACUGGGCGUAAAGCGUGCGCAGGCGGUUUUGUAAGUCUGUCGUGAAAUCCCCGGGCUCAACCUGGGAAUUGCGAUGGAGACUGCAAGGCUAGAAUCUGGCAGAGGGGGGUAGAAUUCCACGUGUAGCGGUGGAAAUGCGUAGAGAUGUGGAGGAACACCGAUGGCGAAGGCAGCCUCCUGGGCCAACACUGACGCUCA